GCCCUUAAUUAAUUAAUGUGAUUGUUUUACUAAAAAAUACUACUACUACAAUAUUGAAUUUCCCUUUGGGAUUAAUACAGUAUUUUUCAUUUCAUUCAUUUCAUUUCAUUUCAUUUCAUUUCAUGAUUUAAGUAGUCACUGUGUGCUAACGUUAUGUCAUUUUGCAGACAAUGAAGAGAAAGUCUUCCAAAGAUAUUGCCUCCUUCUUCUCUAAGAGACAGUUACAGGAGAGCAGCACAGAGCUAAUGCUAGGCAGCCAGAGAAAGAAUCAGAGAUAGAGAAUGACACUGUGGCUACACCUGAAGGCAACUUAAGCCAACAGCAAAUGUUUCCCUGACUUCUAUGGACGUCAGUUGUACUAGAUUUAUUUCUCAGAACAAUAUCACAGAGUUGAUUGAAUCCUAGACCUUUUCUUGGAGUGUAAUAUUACCGUCCUUGUGCUUCUUCCUUAACUGUUAUUCGUCUAUUACUCCAGCUUUAGCUUGUAAUGUUGAGUGUAGUGCUGUGUUGACAAGAAUUUCUCUUCUGGGGAUGAAUAGUUAUAUUUAAAAAUGAUAUCCUGAUGUUAUAAUCUGGGGGCUGUAGUAACAACCGGAGACUAAAUCAUCUUAUAGAAACAGCAGGCUCUGUUUAUUUUCAUUUGAUGAUCAAUAGCUUUUACAGUAGAGGGUUUAGAACAGCUGGAUCCCGACCAGCCCAGGCCUCCAGGUAGUGGACCUGCUCAUGGACGAGCAGACAUGUCCCAGUCACGAGCAGAUGGACCAAAACAGCCAUAUCUAAAGGUUUACCCAUGGACUAUGUACAACGACAGGAGAUGGGGCUUCAACUACAAGUAGUUCUCCAUUCAUAAGUGGUUGGAGUAUAAUAAUUUCCAUGUUUACUGCUUGUUGGUCACACAGAUCCCUGAGUGAGUGAGUGAAUUUUUGCCCUCUCUCUGCCAUUUUGCCCCUGUAAUUUUGUCUUUGGUCACAAAUAUUGCUGAAAUAAACACAUGAGAAUGUAAAUAAAUGCAAAUUGAUAAUAAAUGUACAAUCUAAUGGA